rnacentral:rRNA from 1 species
AUGGAUCUCAUGAGCUGGAACUGCCGGGGAGGGGGGAAUUCCCGGACAGUUCGUGAGCUAGCGACGCUAGUGCAGUCGCAUUCCCCCAGGAUGGUGUUUCUGUGCGAGACAAGACAAAAAGAAGAUAAAAUGAGAAGAUUGAGAGGCCGGCUAGGCCUCAAAGGAUUUACUAGUGUGGAUAGCAACGGCCUGAGCGGGGGCCUUGCCCUUUUUUGGCACGAAAGUCUGAUAAUAGAUAUUAUGGACAAGGACGAUCGCUAUAUUGAUGUGGCAGUUCGGUUACAUGCUGACGCCGAACAGUGGAGAGUAACGUUUGUGUACGGGGAGCCGCGUGUUGAGAAUCGUCUCCUAAUGUGGUAG